rnacentral:misc_RNA from 1 species
GAUGAAGAACGUAGCGAAAUGCGAUAAGUAAUGCGAAUUGCAGAAUUCCAGUGAGUCAUCGAAUCUUUGAACGCACAUUGCGCCCUUUGGUAUUCCGAAGGGCAUGCCUGUUCGAGCGUCAUUAUCACCCCUCAAGCCCUCGGCUUGGUGUUGGACGGUUUGGUGGAGGCCCCCUCGGGGGCUCCUGCCCCUCCCAAAGACAAUGACGGCGGCCUCGUUGGACCCCCGGUACACUGAGUUCUUCACGGGACACGUAUCGGACACAUGGGUUUACGGGACACGGUCUGCCUCCCCUCAGGAAGAAUCUUUCUAAGGUUGACCUCGGAUCAGGUAGGGAUACCCGCUGAACUUAAGCAUAUCAAUAAGCGGAGGA